UACGUAGGGGGCGAGCGUUGUCCGGAUUUAUUGGGCGUAAAGAGCGUGUAGGCGGCCAGGUAGGUCUGCUGUGAAAACUCGAGGCUCAACCUCGAGACGUCGGCGGAAACCAUCUGGCUAGAGUCCGGAAGAGGAGAGUGGAAUUCCUGGUGUAGCGGUGGAAUGCGCAGAUAUCAGGAGGAACACCUAAGGCGAAGGCAGCUCGCUGGAACGGUACUGACGCUGAGGCGCGAAAGCGUGGGGAGCAAACAGG
rnacentral:rRNA from 1 species